rnacentral:lncRNA from 1 species
CGAAAUCAUGUUUUAGUUGACUUUAAUGUUUGUAUGGGGUUGGCAGUUAAGUCGGAAGAUAAAUUAGAACAGGAGUUUUUUUUAGUUUAAUUAUAUUGCUUUAAUAGAUUGUAUUAUGUUUAGGCCGAUCACACUUGGGUAGACAUUCCUUAGGAUGUUUUCUUCGUAGUUUCGAAUUUGCUCGCUUAGUUGUUUGCUUGUAUAUUUACUUAAUUUGGUUAUAGCUGAACAUGACAUUGUCACAUAUUGGGUCACUAUUCAGUAAUUGAACUACGUAAUUAGAUUAAAGGAUCCGGGGG